GAUGAACGCUAGCGGCAGGCUUAACACAUGCAAGUCGAGGGGCAGCAUAAUGGAUAGCAAUAUCUAUGGUGGCGACCGGCGCACGGGUGCGUAACGCGUAUGCAACCUACCUUUAACAGGGGGAUAACACUGAGAAAUUGGUACUAAUACCCCAUAAUAUCAUAGAAGGCAUCUUUUAUGGUUGAAAAUUCCGAUGGUUAGAGAUGGGCAUGCGUUGUAUUAGCUAGUUGGUGGGGUAACGGCUCACCAAGGCGACGAUACAUAGGGGGACUGAGAGGUUAACCCCCCACACUGGUACUGAGACACGGACCAGACUCCUACGGGAGGCAGCAGUGAGGAAUAUUGAUCAAUGGACGCAAGUCUGAACCAGCCAUGCCGCGUGCAGGAUGACGGCUCUAUGAGUUGUAAACUGCUUUUGUACGAGGGUAAACGCAGAUACGUGUAUCUGUCUGAAAGUAUCGUACGAAUAAGGAUCGGCUAACUCCGUG
rnacentral:rRNA from 1 species